GUAAGUAACUUUCCGCAUAAAGCGAAUCUCUUGUUAAAUUACUUGCACGCGCUGUAGAGCAAACGAAUCGGUAACGUUAGUUGUUGCGUUUCGUUUAUAACCUCUGAACGUAUCGCCCUGAUAUUAACAUUAUAAAGUAUAAUAAUGAGGAUUCUCGCUGGUUGUCUCUGUUGAUCCUGCAGCAGAAUGAGUGGUGUCUUGGUUGUAAACUGGUCCGGCUGAAGCAGAGCUCUGGGACGUGUGGACAGACAUUGACCGUAAUGAUGGACAUCUGCUCAUGGACAGCAUAACCGCUGCUGGUCACAGUGCCGGAAGUUCCAGGGGGAGACCGUAAUGAUAUCCCCCUUCUUUGGGCGCGCCUUCACACACACUCCACCAUUCACUCAUAUCGCAGAGACCUGGCUGGGAUUGAACCAGCAACCUCUGAACCGUGAGGCAGCGCUCUUACCUGUGAGCCACAGGUCUCUUGUUGAACCACUGGAAGGAACUUAUAUUUGACUGUUUACCUGUGAUUUCCCAAUAAAGAAGUUAAAGUAAGCUGGGU
ensembl:lncRNA